rnacentral:rRNA from 1 species
AACGAACGCUGGCGGCGUGCCUAACACAUGCAAGUCGUGCGAGAAAGUUCCUUCGGGAGCGAGUAAAGCGGCGCACGGGUGAGUAACACGUAGGUAACCUGCCCCCCAGUCUGGAACAACUAGAGGAAACUCUAGCUAAUGCCGGAUGAGACCACGAUCCCUUCGGGGGUUGCGGCCAAAGAUGGCCUCUACUUGUAAGCUAUCGCUGAGGGAUGGGCCUGCGGGCCAUUAGCUUGUUGGUGAGGUAACGGCUCACCAAGGCUGUGAUGGCUAGCUGGUCUGAGAGGAUGACCAGCCACACUGGGACUGAGACACGGCCCAGACUCCUACGGGAGGCAGCAGUGGGGAGUAUUGCGCAAUGGGCGAAAGCCUGACGCAGCGACGCCGCGUGGGUGAUGAAGGCCU